GGGAGCGUUCCCGAGUGGCCAAAGGGGGCAGACUGUAAAUCUGUUGUCACAGACUUCGGUGGUUCGAAUCCACCCGCUCCCACCA
rnacentral:tRNA from 1 species